UUAAUUGAAGAGUUUGAUCAUGGCUCAGAUUGAACGCUGGCGGCAGGCCUAACACAUGCAAGUCGGGCGGUAACAGGGAGAAGCUUGCUUCUCUGCUGACGAGCGGCGGACGGGUGAGUAAUGUAUGGGGAUCUGCCUGAUGGCGGGGGAUAACUACUGGAAACGGUAGCUAAUACCGCAUAAUGUCUUCGGACCAAAGCGGGGGA
rnacentral:rRNA from 1 species